ensembl:lncRNA
UCUUCCUGGAGAUUGCUCCUUGUGGAGUUUUUACGAGCCUACAACACCGUUGUUCUAUCUGUCCUGUUUCCAUACAGUUUUUGUUGCAGCACAACUUUCACACCAACACUUAGUGGUUCCUGAGCAAGUGCUGCAGUAGAAUCUUUGGAGAUAACCCCAACAGCACAAGCUAUUUGUCAUCAUUUGCCAGUAUUGUUCUGUGGCACAGAAAGUGCCAACAGGUGCCAUUUAAGAUGCUUCUCUCUCUGACAAUGCCUUUUUAAUAGCUGCCGAAUGAUCCCUGCUGCCCUUGCAUAGCCAAGCCAGCUGGCCGUAUGUAUCCCAAGGCUGCGACUCCAUCAGCAACUUUUAAAUUAAAACUCAAAAACUGGUGUAAGUUCACAGAAGAGAAGAGCAUUGAGUGUGGGGGCUGCUAUCGAGAGGCGAGAGCACAGAUUUUUCAGCCAACUCUGGAAGGCCUGUUGUUCAUCUGCCAGUGCAUUGUUCCAGCCUGAGAAUGGGCAGCCUGCCAUUCUCACAGAUGGGCGGAAGAGCAGGCUGGAAGGAGAUGGGCAUUGCGUGUCAAAUGUUUCUGGUAGUGAACUGCAACCUGGGAUCUCCAGAUAACAGCGCUUACAACAAGGGCCUGUAGUUAUGGGCUAGUUAAGGUGUAGAUGAACAUGUUAUGGAAAACGGAGACAAAUGUUUAUUCUAAUAUGGUAAGUACCCAGAUACAGUAACUCCUGACAGACAGCCAAGCUGUGGGAGACUGAAACUGUACACCAAAAGAUCUGGGGUUACUGAAUUACUUUAGAAAAUGUCUUCAGUGUGAAUCUUUCCUCUGCACAGGCCCUUCCUCCUUGAGUGCCCCCACAGGGAUAAGCUCAAAGGCAAGCAGCACUUAGAAGGCUGUUUAGUUGGAAAUUGCAUUUGUGAGACAUUUUUAUGUGGAGGGCCCACAGCAUUUUGGUGAAAUAAAAUGCCAAGUUAAUAAACGUGUUAAGAAAAUGGAUCUGCGGUGAUUGAAAAAGCUGGGCCAUAUUUUUUAUAAGUGCACUAAGAUCCAGAAAAUGAGUUCUUUGGAAUAGAUAUUCCUGGCCAUAAUGAGGUCUGGGAUGGACGUGUAAGAUGUGCAGAUUUCUCUGCUAGCUUUUCACCCUGCUGUUCUUGUGCAAAUGCUGUCACAACUCAUGUCCUGGCAGAGAUGCAUUACGUUUUCUUCAGUCCAGACUGCUUUGCCCAUAUCCCCAUUAUGAGAGUGAAUUACAGGUCCCUCCAAUAAACUCUCUGUCUCUCUAAGUACAAAAGCGGUCUUUGGGGCAGGAGGGGAAAAGUGGCCUGUUCUAUUCCUAUCCAAGUUCACUCUACUGUGUUUGAUCCAGCCCUUUGUGCUGUGUAUGGCACCAGAACUGUUUGGGUGAUGUUGUGUUAUUGAGCUAACAAGAACAAACACCCAUCUGUUUGUAACUUGCCCACUCUGAGCUGACAGCAAGCUUCUUUGGUGAGUUUUGUAGAACAAAGAGAUUAUGCAUCUUAGUUGGGCAUUAACGCUGAUGCCUAUUUUUCUCUGAAAUUCUUCUUACUGCUAUGCACUGUCUUGUAGGUUUGGAGGACUUGGGAUGACUCUUGUUGCAUUGUUAAAGAAGUACCUGACCUUUUCUUUUUAAUGAUUAGAUCAGUCUUUGUGAUGUCACUGCACUUACACUCUCUGGUAGUAUUCAGCUAUU